rnacentral:ncRNA from 2 species
CUGUUAUCAAGAAAGGUUGAGGGAUUAGACCCAGUGAAACCUUAGCAACCCUCCUUCGGAGAAGGUGCUACAUUCUACUAAGCGAACUAGCUUGGAUAGAUAACUA